GGGAAGUUCUAAGCUUUGCAAGCAUCCCGUCAAGAUCAACUCUGCCUGAGCAAGUGGCCACCACAGCUCCAGGAAAGGAAGCCUGAGAUGGUCAUAGGAGUAGCAAGCAGUACAUGAACACCACUGAGCUCAGGAAGGAGAGACCGAAGAGGACGAUGGCCUUUCACUUUUAGGAGGCCAUCUCCAGCUUUUCAAAGAGAAGAGAAAACAAGUAAAGCUGCAAAGCGGAGAAAAGGUUGACAGUGAAUCGUUCACCAUCUGAAGGGUCUUUGUUAUGACUCAUCCAGGCCUUCCUUUCUCCUUCCCUCUUAGCUGGAAGGCAGUGUGCUUUGUCACCCCUUCGGAGACAUUUUCUCCCUUGUGACUCCCUAGUUACAGCAUUUCAGUUUUAGAUCAAGGAUGGCUUGUCUCUCUUUGUGCUGUAGAUGUGACUACCUCCCCUAUCAGGGAAUGAUGACUUGUAUAUAAAUACAAUAAGACUAAAAUGAUAUAGGCUAAUUAGAGCUUAGCUCUGUAAUGACCCAAAUCCCAGAGGAAGGGACAUAUGACUCACAGUCUAGAUACAGUCCCUUCUAGGCACUUGGAGUUCACAGCUACAGUUUAGGGGUAUACUCUGCAGCUAAAGUCCUGGAGUUCCUCUCACUAGAACUGUCCACUACCAAAUGGAUAAGUAUGCUUGCUCUUUGAUGGGAUGACAGAAAUAAUCUCAUUAACUGGUGCUAACAUGAGCUCCACACAGCUCGAUCUGAUAGAAUUAAGAUGGGAUAGCCCAGAAUCUAGAGACAGCACUUUGGUUAGUGUGAGGAGUCCUUGGCAGAAGGACCAGUCAAAAGAGGAAUACUGUCUUUCUUUUACUCAGAACAGAGGUCUAACAUUGAAAUAUGGGUUCAGGAUCUUCAACCUUGACCUAUUGAACUUUGACCUUGAGCCUAAGCUAUUGAGCUUUAACCUUGAAUCUGACUGCCUGUGUGCUUUCCUUGAAUGUAAAGAUGGAGAUGUGGUGAGGUAGAAGAAUAAUAAGUGGACUGUCUCAGCAA